AGAGAGAAGAGGGCCCUAAACAGAGUCUCAGAGUUAUCAAGUAUGACCCUAGAUUGUUGUUGUUGCUAUUGGUGAUGGAAGGAGAGUUCAUCCUUUGUUCUUCAAGAAGACCAGUGAUAGACAUCACAAGAGUGAUGUAAAGAUCCAGCACAAAAGACAGAAGAAUCAAUCAGACAGGGCGAUCUCCAGUUGUUCUGACCUAUAUCUGGCUACUGAACCCAGAUGGUUCUGGAUGUGAAAGUAAGGUGUCUACAGAUGUGCAACCUUGAGGACAGAAGCAAGGGAGGAAAAGGUUCUGGUAAACUUUGCCUGCCUCUGGCUUUGCCCUUUCUUUGGCCAGAGUCUAAGAUGUAACCCCGUCCUGAGUGUAAUGACAAGUAAAUGUCUAAGUCAUGAAUUAGAUAACUUCUCUAGGAAGUUAGAAACUAUCUAAAUGUUUUUAAAAUGCCAACCCCAUUAUGCAUUACACAGAUGUGCCACUUGUAAUGAUGAAUACCCUAUGAAUCUUUAGCUGUUUACCCAGAAUGUCUAUAGCAAUUAUCUGAGGUCCUAAAAAUAAAAUCAUGCUAUUUAUUGAUAAAUCUGUCAGUAGAAAUAUAUAAUAAUUUAAAUUCUAUGGCUGAUGAUAUGAGAUUCAAGGAAAUGUAUCACAGAUGCCAAUCCUUCCUUUAAACCAGUUGCAAAUUAUUGAGUUCUAUGCCAAAAGAGGUAUUUGUGAUUGCUAUCAUUGUUUCUAAGGAAGCUAGUUGUCACAGUGGAUAGACUGUCCAGCCAGAAGUUUGGAAGGAAUUCAAAUCUG